GACGAACGCUGGCGGCGUGCUUAACACAUGCAAGUCGAACGAGAGACGGUGAAAAGCUUGCUUUUAAUCGAAUCGAGUGGCAAACGGGUGAGUAACGCGUAAACAACCUGCCCCUGGGAUGGGGACAACAGCUGGAGACGGCUGCUAAUACCGAAUGAGCUCCACGUGCCGCAUGGCAGGAGGAGGAAAGGGUGGCCUCUGGAACAAGCUACCGCCGAGGGAGGGGUUUGCGUCUGAUUAGCUGGUUGGUGAGGUAAGGGCUCACCAAGGCGACGAUCAGUAGCCGGUCUGAGAGGAUGAACGGCCACAUUGGAACUGAGAGACGGUCCAGACUCCUACGGGAGGCAGCAGUGGGGAAUCUUCCGCAAUGGGCGAAAGCCUGACGGAGCAACGCCGCGUGAGUGAAGACGGCCUUCGGGUUGUAAAGCUCUGUGUGGCAAGCGUUGAUCGGAAUGAUUGGGCGUAAAGGGCGCGCAGGCGGCCGGCCAAGUCUGUCUAAAAGUGCGGGGCUUAACCCCGUGAGGGGAGAGAACUGGCCGGCUGAGAGUGUCGGAGAGGAAAGCGGAAUUCCUAGUGUAGCGGUGAAAUGCGUAGAUAUUAGGAGGAACACCGGUGGCGAAAGCGGCUUUCUGGACGACAACUGACGCUGAGGCGCGAAAGCCAGGGGAGCAAACGGGAUUAGAUACCCCGGUAGUCCUGGCCGUAAACGAUGGGUACUAGGUGUGGGAGGUAUCGACCCCUUCCGUGCCGGAUUAACGCAAUUACCCCGCCUGGGGAGUACGGCCGCAAGGUUGAAAUCAAAGGAAUUGACGGGGGCCCGCACAAGCGGUGGA
rnacentral:rRNA from 1 species